rnacentral:rRNA from 1 species
CCUACGGGCGGCAGCAGUGAGGAAUAUUGGUCAAUGGACGAGAGUCUGAACCAGCCAAGUAGCGUGAAGGAUGACUGCCCUAUGGGUUGUAAACUUCUUUUAUAUGGGAAUAAAAUGUUCCACGUGUGGGAUUUUGUAUGUACCAUAUGAAUAAGGAUCGGCUAACUCCGUGCCAGCAGCCGCGGUAAUACGGAGGAUCCGAGCGUUAUCCGGAUUUAUUGGGUUUAAAGGGAGCGUAGGUGGAUUGUUAAGUCAGUUGUGAAAGUUUGCGGCUCAACCGUAAAAUUGCAGUUGAAACUGGCAGUCUUGAGUACAGUAGAGGUGGGCGGAAUUCGUGGUGUAGCGGUGAAAUGCUGAGAUAUCACGAAGAACUCCGAUUGCGAAGGCAGUUCACUGGACUGCAACUGACACUGAGGCUCGAAAGUGUGGGUAUCAAACAGGAUUAGAUACCCGAGUAGUC